UCCAACGUUUCUGUCUCUCUUUUUUGUAGGGAACAGAAUGAGAUCAACAGGAAGCAUAUCUCAGAUCUUGUCACUUUAAUCCGCCGGUUGGAUGAGGGCCCAGUUAAGGCGUCAGGAAAAGUUGGUCAUUGGUCAGAGAGAAGUCCUACGGCACAUAGAGGAGGAAACCCACUGCUGAAGGCCCGGUUGGAGCAGGACUUGUGACGGAGCUCCAGCGUCUUCCUGAGGAGAUCUGCCAAUAUCUGGAACGGUACUGGAGUCCAAAGGUCUCUGCAGCGAACGCCCUCUUUUCCUUAUCCAAUCAUAGCAGCCAGCUCCAGCUCAGGCACGCCCUCCAACUGCUCCACGCCCACUUUACCCUUAACGCCCAAUAGCAGCGCCUGGAACAGGAGCCUAGACAAUGGCAAUCGCCUCAGUGGUGGAUUCAUCCUCUUCUCUACUCCUGUCCAAUCAGAUGUAGAGUUGACCAUGGGUGUGAAUUUAAUGAGUGUCCUUUUUAUCAAUAAUGGUUCUUGGCUUUAGUUGGUGGAAAAAAGUAUUUUUGUUAUUUUCAUUUUAAAAUGUGUUUUUUAAUUGUAAUUUUAUUUUUUAUUUGAUUAAAUUUCUUAAGAUGUUGAUUUGUUCAAUUCUUCUAUCCAGGGUUUUAGAGGUAGAGACGAAGUAACCAAAGUUUAAAAAAUAUAUAUAUUUCUGUUAAUUCGUCAGAUUUCUUUGCAUAUGUAAUUUUUCUCAUCAAUGUCUGUCAGAGAUUUUGUCUCAUAACCACUGAUCUGUCCCAAAACUGAGACUGUAGCUUCUCUUAACCACUAUCUGUCCCGAAAACUAAACUGUAGCUUCUCUCAACCACUAUCUGUCCAAAACUGAGCUGUAGCUUCUCUUAACCACUAUCUGUCCCAAAACUGAGACUGUAGGCUUCUCUUAACCACUAUCUGUCUCCAAAACUGAAACUGUAGCUUCUCUUAACCACUAUCUGUCCAAAACUGAGACUGUAGCUUCCUUAACCACUAUCUGUCCCAAAA